rnacentral:rRNA from 1 species
AGAUUGAACGCUGGCGGCAGGCCUAACACAUGCAAGUCGAGCGGUAGAGAGGUGCUUGCACCUCUUGAGAGCGGCGGACGGGUGAGUAAUGCCUAGGAAUCUGCCUAGUGGUGGGGGAUAACGUUCGGAAACGGACGCUAAUACCGCAUACGUCCUACGGGAGAAAGGCGGGGGACCUUCGGGCCUCGCGCCAUUGGAUGAGCCUAGGUCGGAUUAGCUAGUUGGUGAGGUAAUGGCUCACCAAGGCGACGAUCCGUAACUGGUCUGAGAGGAUGAUCAGUCACACU